CCACGUGCGUAUGUGGUGAGGAGAGAUUCACCACACACCCGAUCCUCACCGCGCGCCGCCCCGCACCUCCACCUUCCCCUGCACAGGCGCCAAUCUGCACCAUCCGGCGAACCUCUCGGCAGGCGGCAGCCCACAGAUUCGGCGCUCCCUCCCAACCCUCAUGCUCCCACCUGCAGAGGGCCUCGAAGUAGGCCAAGACGACGUUGCAGCAGUGAGGAGAUUGGCGAAUCUUACUCUGUGUCGCCCGAGCUGGUAAACCGGGAGAACCCAGCAGCGCCGCCUUCCACCCACCCCAUCCGGUUCCCCCUAGGCUGUUGUCGCCGGCCUCGGCCUCGGUUCCGGGGGGGCGCGUCUCCGGUGGUUCGCACCGUUCAGCUGGCGGUAUUUCGGCUCUCAGUUCCGGCCGGCGGCGGAGCUCCGGCUUCAAUCCCACCCGGCGGUGGCGACCAGUGUGUCCUCUGGUGCCGCUAUUUGCCUCGUUCUGUUAGAAAUCGCUCGCAACUAGAUGCUCGGCGCGAGCGGUUUCUGCAGAUCUCGUCGACCAGCUAGUCGUUGUGUACGGUGGUGUGAGGCAGUCCCAACGGUGGCCGCUGUUGUGUGGUUGCUGUAGCCACAGCUCAACGGUAAAAUUUGCGAGAAUCCUUGUACGUGGUUGAGGAUGACUACACUUGUUCUCGCUGGUAGCUGCACUGCACUCUAGUUUUACUUCAGUUGGUACCGAGCUCCUCUGCUUUCCCAUGGCUGCAAAUAUGAAGGUUCUUCGCUAUCUCGACCGGUAUAGCUUUACUGGUACUAUAGAUACCUAUUGAAGAUCGACGAGGAAAAUUUUGGAGGCCAUGGCUUGUUGCUUCAGGGAUUCAGGGCUGGACGAGUGGCGCUGCUUGUACUAGGGACCAGCAACUAUGAGGCCACCUUGAGUUCCACCCAAGCAAUCUUGAGCUCUACAGUAUGUCUUUAUCAGCUCCAGGUCUGGCCUUGUUCACUUUAUGAAGAGGAGGCUCGCAUGGAUAUAGAUGUGCUAAUCUAUCCCAUCAUUCCCCAUGUUCUAUUUACAACCUUCCUUUUUUGUGUUAAGUGAACCGGUGAACUGAAACCUGAUAGCACAUCUAAUCUUGUCUAACUUUAUUGUAAAGUUGCAUAUAUGCUGCUGUUAUGUUAUUGGCUGAUUACUGCUAAGUUGCUGAUAUGCUGAGAUAUUGCAGUUAUUUUUGAAAAGCAACUUUACAAGC